AUGACUAGGGAUAACCUUAGGAAGAGACACAUCAUCAAACCCCUCGAUUGUGUUUAAUGCUUGGAACAAGAGUCUUGUUCUCACCUAUUUUUUGAAUGUAUAGUUGCUAAACAUCUCUGGGCCCACAUUGAGGAAUAUUUCUCUAGUCAGAUUAUCUCAUCCUUCGAAUCUGUCGCCAGAUUCUGGAUUGCUACCAAAAAGUGCUUAGUUUUAAACACUAUUAGCUCAACUGUCCUUUGGUGCCUCUGGAAAUAUAGAAAUGCUAUGAUUUUCAGUAACACCUCCUGGAUUUCCAUUCCGCAGGUCUUGAGGUUGAUCAGGAACAUGGUGAGGAACUGGGCGAUUCUCUCCUCCGGAUCGGACAAGGACAAGUUGAUGAGCUUCGUGGAACCCUAA
rnacentral:rRNA from 1 species